CAGCAGCCGCCACGGUAAUACGUAGGUGGCAAGCGUUGUCCGGAAUUAUUGGGCGUAAAGGGCUCGCAGGCGGUUUCUUAAGUCUGAUGUGAAAGCCCCCGGCUCAACCGGGGAGGGUCAUUGGAAACUGGGAAACUUGAGUGCAGAAGAGGAGAGUGGAAUUCCACGUGUAGCGGUGAAAUGCGUAGAGAUGUGGAGGAACACCAGUGGCGAAGGCGACUCUCUGGUCUGUAACUGACGCUGAGGAGCGAAAGCGUGGGGAGCGAACAGGAUUAGAUACCCGGGUAGUCCCUGUCUCUUU
rnacentral:rRNA from 1 species